UACGGAGGGUGCAAGCGUUAUCCGGAUUUACUGGGUUUAAAGGGUGCGCAGGCGGAUAUGUAAGUCAGUGGUGAAAUCUUUGGGCUUAACCCGAAAAUUGCCAUUGAUACUAUAUAUCUUGAAUGCUGUGGAGGUAAGCGGAAUAUGACAUGCAGUGGUGUAAUACAUAGAGAUGUCAUAGAACACCGAUUGCGAAGGCAGCUGACGAAACUAUAACUGACACUGAGGCUCGAAAGUGUGGGGAUCAAACAGG
rnacentral:rRNA from 1 species